AACGAACGCUGGCGGCAGGCCUAACACAUGCAAGUCGAGCGCCCUUUCGGGGGAGCGGCGGACGGGUGAGUAACGCGUGGGAAUAUGCCCUUCUCUACGGAAUAGCCUCGGGAAACUGAGAGUAAUACCGUAUACGCCCUUAGGGGGAAAGAUUUAUCGGGGAAGGAUUAGCCCGCGUUGGAUUAGGUAGUUGGUGGGGUAAUGGCCUACCAAGCCGACGAUCCAUAGCUGGUUUGAGAGGAUGAUCAGCCACACUGGGACUGAGACACGGCCCAGACUCCUACGGGAGGCAGCAGUGGGGAAUCUUAGACAAUGGGGGCAACCCUGAUCUAGCCAUGCCGCGUGAGUGAUGAAGGCCUUAGGGUUGUAAAGCUCUUUCAGCUGGGAAGAUAAUGACGGUACCAGCAGAAGAAGCCCCGGCUAACUCCGUGCCAGCCGCUGCAGUAAUAC
rnacentral:rRNA from 1 species